UGAAGCCUGGCCUUUGCUCUGCGAGUC
rnacentral:piRNA from 1 species